rnacentral:rRNA from 1 species
UAGCGUAGGGGGCAAGCGUUGUCCGGAUUUAUUGGGCGUAAAGAGCGUGUAGGCGGUUUGGUAGGUCCGUUGUGAAAACUCGAGGCUCAACCUCGAGACGCCGGCGGAAACCAUCAGGCUAGAGUCCGGAAGAGGAGAGUGGAAUUCCUGGUGUAGCGGUGAAAUGCGCAGAUAUCAGGAGGAACACCGAUGGCGAAGGCAGGUCUCUGGGCGAUUAACUGACGCUGAGGAGCGAAAGCAUGGGGAGCGAACAGG